rnacentral:rRNA from 1 species
GACGAACGCUGGCGGCGUGCUUAACACAUGCAAGUCGAACGGAAAGGCCCUGCUUUUGUUGGUUUCUCGAUUGGCGAACGGGUGAGUAACACGUGAGUAACCUGCCCUUGACUUUGGGAUAACUUCACGAAACUGGGGCUCAUAUCGGGUAUGAGCUCCUGCUGCAUGUUGGGGGUUGGAAAGUUUCGGCGGUUGGGGAUGGACUCGCGGCUUAUCAGCUUGUUGGUGGGGUAGUGGCUUACCAAGGCUUUGACGGGUAGCCGGCCUGAGAGGGUGACCGGCCACAUUGGGACUGAGAUACGGCCCAGACUCCUACGGGAGGCAGCAGUGGGGAAUAUUGCACAAUGGGCGGAAGGCUGAUGCAGCAACGCCGCGUGCGGGAUGACGGCCUUCGGGUUGUAAACCGCUUUCGCAUGUGACGAAGCGUGAGUGACGGUAAUGGGUAAAGAAGCACCGGCUAACUACGUG